rnacentral:rRNA from 11 species
GUUUAUGGUCAAAAUGCCCUAAAGGCGCCAGAUCCCAUCUGAUUUUGAAAGCUAAGCAGAACCAGCUCUGGUGAGCAUGUGGAUGGGAGACUGCCAAUAAAUAGCAAAUGCUUUAGGCU